rfam:Triticum urartu cultivar G1812 contig165007, whole genome shotgun sequence.
AUUCUACUCCCUCCGUUGCACAAUACAUGCCUUCUAUUUGUCAAAAUAUAUAUGUAUCUAGACAUGUCUUAGUAAAUAGGUACAUCCAUUUUUGGACAAAUGGAAGUCAAGUAUUUUGUAACAGAGGGAGUACACA